rnacentral:lncRNA from 1 species
CUUUGGAUCAGGAUCUAAAAGAGCAAAGACUUACUCCUAACAAAGAUGCUUGAAUAGGAAUGGAAAGCUGUUAAUCAGACUCUCCUGGCAGGCUGGAUGCUAAACCAAAAUGAUCAGCACACACACUGCCUUCACUUCAGCUAUGCCGUGGACCAGGUGAUGGUUUGGUAACUAAGGAGUCCUAGAAGUGUUACUGUCAUUCUUUGUAUUUGUUUCUGAUGCGUGUCAAAAGGUUACAGAUGCAACUGGUUUAACCGGUCUCGUGGCAAACACCUGGGGGAGCCCUGCUUGUUUCAGCUGUGGGGUGGGGAGAGGGAUGUGCCUCCUGCUGGGCUCUGCAGGGGAGGGAUGCAGGGGGCAGAGGGAUGGCUGUGUGGUCCUCACCUGGGGGCUCAGCAAAGGAGCAGGUACUUGCCCCUGCCUCAAGAAAAGGCCAAAGACCAAAUGUGGCUGGGACAAGCCAGCAGGAAGGCUCUGCGUUGACAUCUCAGAAUCUCAGCCAUACCUCCACAGAAACCAGGAACUGCUAUCUGAUGAUGCGAAGCAACACGGGCUGAAAAUCUGCUCAGAAGAGCAAGUGGUGAAGAGCUGUUAUUGGAAGCCUUCUUCUCUUACUGCAGUAGUAGACUGAAGAAUAAAAUAAACAAAAAUAAUCA